rnacentral:lncRNA from 1 species
AUGACUCUAACAGUAGUGAUUCAAACCCAGCCACUGGGUGCACAUUGUGAUGAAGUCCAAACUCUGCAACACUUCGUACCCCUGGGUCUGGAUUCUGCAAAACUCCUCUGGGAAGCUGUGAAGAGAAAUGCAAGUGGGAGAGGACUGCAGCUCCCUAGUGCUGUGAUCUCCUGUCUGCAAGACCUUCAUCCGAGGAAACAAAACAUGCUGAAUUUGUCCUGCAGCCAUCACAUCAGGUGGAGUCAAGUCUCCUAA